GCCUGGCCCUAUUCUUAACCUGGUGAAAAGAUGCUUUAUCCUCAAAAGGCUGAAAUAAAGGGUUUGCCUUCCCAGAAACCCUCUCUUCUCAGUGGGAAUCCGUGGGCCUUUGGGUCUGUAGUGUCCACGUGUCACUCAGUCCACAACAACUCCAAGCAAAUCGCUCUUAUAUAUUGAGCUCUUAACCAUUUUCUAAUAGCCCAAUGUCAGCAGACCUUCCUCCAAUCUGUGGUUGUUAAAAAGGUGCUCGCGGACAGGACGGGGAGCAGGGCACCUGCUGGGAAUUUAGUAGUACAAAUCCUCUCCACACCCUAGGCCACCUCAAUCAGACACUCUGAAGGUGGCCCCCAGCAGUGUGUGUUUUAAGCCCUCCCUGAUUGUGACGCAGGGAGAAGUUUGAGAUUCACUGCCCCAACCUAGACACCCAACACUUUGCUCACUCAAGAAAAUUAACUUCCAGUCCGUCUUCCAGGAUGGAGGGGCAAUGCAGCAUUAGUUUGCUGCCUCAGCAAAGUGCCACAGAUUGGGUGGCUUAAGCAACUAACUUUUUUUUUCACAGUUCUGUCAACAAGUUCGUAGAGGACAGUCUUCCUCCUGUGUCUUCACAUUGUCCUUCCUCUGUGUGCUGGUGUCCUGAUCUUUUUUUAUAAGAACACCCGUCAUUGGAUCAGGGCCCACCCAUAUGACCUCAGUUUACUUUAAUUACCUCUUUAAAACGCUGUCUCCAAACACAGUCGCACUUUGAGAUCCUGGAUGUUAGAGCUUCGAUAUUUGAGGGAGGAGGAUGGGAAGGGGGACAAGAGGACACAAUUCAGUUCCUAACAGGUAGUUCCCAGAUAAGCUACUGCUGACAGUUCCUGAGCCUGGGCUGGGGCAUGAGUAUGGAGUUUCUGUGGUAUAAAUCUGAUCACCUCUUCGCUUUCCCUAUGACAUUUGUUUAGGAUUCAACUUUCUCAAGUCUGACAAAUCAACUACCACACUUCAAACGCCUUUCCAGAUAAUAAUAUUUUGUUCUCUCCUGACCUUUUGAUCCUAUUUGAACACGUUUUAGAGUUGUUUUGAGUGGGAUUUUUGGAAUUCACAAAAGUGAAUUCUUGUCUUAAAUCUACAAUCUUUACCUAAAAGCACUGUAAGGCAGCAGAGGUUUCCUGGGGAUAUAAAGCAAACCAGCUCUAUCUUUUCCUCUCCUUCAUUUCUCAGCACCUGGUCUGGCCCUUCUCCCUGAUUCCCAUCAAAAGAUGAAGUGCUCUAUUAGUUAUUGCAGCAUCAGAUUCCUCUCCCUGGCAGUUAUGUAGGUUGUAACUUUAUAGACUUUUUUUGCCAUUAGGUUCAAUUUGUUUUCCCAACCAGACGAUAAGGUUUCUCCUAGUUUGCAGUAAGUUUUCAUUCUGUUACGAGAGUGAUGUUAUUUUAUUUGAACAAAUUUGCUAAAUACACCUUUAGGACCGUAGCAGGACCACGUGGCCUAAUGGAUAAGGCGUCUGACUUCGGAUCAGAAGAUUGAGGGUUCGAAUCCCUUCGUGGUUGCUGUGGGGUUUACCUUAUGGUUACUGAAACCAGUUCCAAAUUUUCGUGCUGACCACCCCACUAUUUAUUACCUCAUUUUUUUGGUUACAGUCAGUAAUCAGAAACCCCCUUUUCACUGUAACAGUUUCAUCCUCAAUGUAUUUCCUCUCCACACCCCUUCUUUACUUUUUGUUUCUUUUCACCCGUUCUGUCUCUUCACAGCAUCUCCAACAGUCGGUUCUCCCGGUCUGCCCUUCUCAAAAUUUGGAACGCGGAUCAGUGGCAACAUCUGGGAGCUUCUUAGAAAUGCAAACUUUCUCAGCCAGUCCCAGUUUCCUCUCAACGCUACCCUUGAACUACAGAAUUAGAAGUUUAGGAGUGGGACCCAGGAAUCCAACUUCCAGUCUCAACUUGGCAGUACAAAUCGAACAAACAAAAACGCUGUGUUCCGGUUUUUUGCAUCUGGAAAUGAACUGACUCCUUCCGUGGUUGGCAGGAGUAGGCACAUUGUUCUUGAAGGACUUUCCUUGGACAACAGUUCAGGCUUUACUCUUGCUUCUUCUGGGAUUUCUCCUGCUGGCUGCACCUGGUGUCAUCUGGAAAUGUUGCCGGGAGAAAGAGCAAGAAUGCUGGACCAAAGGCAAAGCAAUCAGAAGACCGAGCCAGUGUGAGUCCAAAGAAGACUAUGGAAGAAGGAUUGGACAGAGGAGAAGGGAGAGGACCAGGAUGAAGAGGAUCAAAGGGAUUUGCAGUUGAGAGAAACUCCGAGAGCUUUGUAAGUCCUGUGCCACCCUCUCCCGUGUGUACGAUCUGAGAGCCUCUCCUGUGCCCUUUCUCUCAUGAGGUUUCUUUGUUCUACUUCAGGCUGGAGAAAAGCCCAGAAAGUGGAUGGUGAGUAAAUGGGAGUUUUUGUUUUUCAUCGAAGACUGCUUCAUUUAAUAGGUGCUUUUAUUCUGAUCCUUUCCUCCGAGGCCUUGCUCACUCUUAACACAAUCUGGACUUAAUGCCUAUAGUCCAGCCACUCUGCUCACACCUCAUGGAUGCCCCAAACGUUUUUCGAAUCUGUGGCCAAAACUGAACUCCAUCUCCUUCCCUGUCAACCUGCCCUUCCUCCUCUAUACCCCUGCUGCAGGUGCUGCCACCACUCACCCGAGUGGGCUCCUUUCUCUCCUCUCUUCGGGGCAACUCCUUUUACUGCUUAGCCCCAGACCCCUUCUCAGGCAGAGACUACAUCUCCCAAUCUUUCUUCUUUUAUCACAGAUCCCUGGUACUAGAUUACCAAGGCCCUUCUCUUAACAGCAAGCUGCUUCCAUUCCCCUAAGAGCUACUGCUGCCCUUUUCCUUUUUAAGACUUUUUGUCUAGGGAGUUCCCUGGUGGCCUAGCGAUUAAGAACCUAGCAUUGUCACUGCUGUGGUUCGACUCCAAUCCCUGGCCUCAGAACUUCCACAUGCUGCUGUUUUUGAAGUUUGUAUCAUUGACCAUAGCCUCCAGUUUGCUAAAACAGAAAUCUGAUUACAUUCCUCUAAAUUCCUAAAACUUCCGCAGCUUCCCAUUGCCUUUUGCUGUCUUAUCAGGAUGGGGAAUGAUAUGGACAUUUGUAAAUUCUAAAAGAAUUUUCAAAUUUUUGUGAAAAAUUGUCUUGGAGUUCCAUUGUGGCUCAGUGGGUUAUGAACCUGGCUAGCA